CAUUCCUUAACCCAAAUCUUAUCUUCAUAUAUUUUUUUCUUUCCAGCAUCAAUUGCCGCAAGUGUUAUGUAGUAUAACAUUCCAGCAACAAGUUGUUCUUUCACAUUCAAAUUUUCUACAAACUCCAAAUGAGCAUUCUGAAAAGUAGAUUGUAUAUGAAAUUCGUUCAAAUGAAAGUAUUAUUAGAUAAUGUAGUGGAAUAUCUGGAUUUGAAUAUUAUAGAUUUGAAUGUGAAACUAACGAAAAAAUUAAAAAGGAGUAAGUCAUUUUAAUUAACCUCUUUCUAAUUAUAAUCUUGAACAGCAAAACGAGCAAGAUCUUGGAAUUCGGGGUUGUUUGGGAAUGGAACAUUGAUAAUGCCCCCAAGCUUUGCACUAUCAUCACCAACAAGCUUGAAUUCAACAACUUUCUUGAAGUUCUCCCAUACCUUAACCCAAAUCUUAGCUUCAUAUAUUUUCUUUUUUCCAGCAUCAGUUGCCACAAGUGUUAUAUAGUAUAUCAUUCCAGCAACAAGUUGCUCCUUCACAUUCAAAUUUUCUACAUACUCCAAAUGAGCAUUCUGAAAAAUAGAUUGUAUAUGAUGUUCAUUCAAAUGAAAUAAUUAUUAGCUAAUGUAGUGGAUUAUGGAUUUGAAUAUUAUAGGUUUGAAUGUGAAAUUAACGAGAAUAAAAUAAAAGAUGAGUAAUUCAUUAUAAUUAACCUCUUUCUUGUUAUAAUCCUGAACAGCAAAACGAGCAAGGUCUUGGAACUCGGGGUUGUUUGGGAAUGGAACAUUGAUAAUGCCCCCAA
rnacentral:lncRNA from 1 species